AUAGCUGUGGUGAUCGAAGGCGAACAUGGCGGUCCUGAUGCCCUUUCGAGGUUCUUCAAAGCUUUACUACAGUGUCCCAAAACAGAGAGAGGAUCACAGCCGAACGAUGCACUCAAAAUAGAGGGAGGAUCAAAAUCAAUUGUUGUGAGAGGCGAAUGGUGCACUCAUAUCUUCGGCGGCGAGACUAGUUCGACGAAGGAACAUGAUGACUAAAUUGCUGAUAGCUUCUGGUGGACAAUAGAGAUAACUGAAUAAAAAUGGGAGGCUGUUGCUGCUGCUGUUCUAAAGGAGGGGGACUAAACAGUUCGCCACCAUUCUAUCAUAGGAACACCAUCAAUCAGAUUUUGCGAUAUGCAAGCAAGAAUCGACUUCCGGAAAGUUUGAAAGAGCAAAUGCUGGCAAAUAUGCAACUGAAAUUUAGGACAGCAGAAUUACAGCAGGAGGAAGUGCUUGAAGACCUACCUAAGGCAAUUAGAUCAAGUAUUGCUCAGCAUCUUUUUCAUGGAACUGUGGAAAAUGCCUAUCUCUUCAAAGGAGUUUCUGAAGACCUUAUCGUCCAACUGGUACAAUAUC